AUUGAACGCUGGCGGCAGGCCUAACACAUGCAAGUCGAGCGGAGCGGCGGUCGGGUGAGUGAUGCCUAGGAAUCUGCCUGUUCGUGGGGGAUCACGUCCGGUAACGGGCGCUAAUACCGCAUCCUCUCACAUUAGCCUAGGUCGGAUUAGCUAGUUGGUGGGGUAAAGGCCUACCAAGGCCCCGAUCCGUAACCGGUCUGAGAGGAUGAUCAGUCACACUGGAACUGAGACACGGUCCAGACUCCUACGGGAGGCAGAAGUGGGGAAUAUUGGACAAUGGGCGAAAGCCUGAUGCAGCCAUGCCGCGUGUGUGAAGAAGGUCUUCGGAUUGUAAAGCACUUUAAGUUGGGAGGCGUUACCAACAGAAUAAGCACCGGCUAACUGCGUGCCAGCAGCCGCGGUAAUUC
rnacentral:rRNA from 1 species